CUCCUGGGAAGGAUGGCAAUCACCAUUUCCCAGAUGGGAACUGAAGCACCGAAAGGUUAAGCGUCUUGCUCAAGGAAGCCCUUUAUCAUCUUGGCAAUCCCCAUCCAUCCUGGCAUACUCUGGGCAAGUAAAUAACUGCACUGGGCAAGUAAAUAACCUUUUUCAUGGCAGUGCAACCUAGUGAAAAGACCACAGAACUGCACUGCAGGCUGUGUCUACAGGGAGGGAGCACCGCUUAAUGACUUCAAUCCAAUCUCCUAAAGGCCUUAUCAGUAGUGAACAGCCCCUCUGCUGACAGCUGACCUUUCCCACUAGGCUCAAAAGGAGAAAACAACAACAACAAAAAACAAUUAAAGGCAAUAUCAGAAAAGA